AAACAAGCUCCAAGGUGGGACGGAGGGAGGGAGAGAAAAUCAUCCUGAGUCUUUGAUACGGAGCGGUGGGUUGUCUUUCUAAUUUUUUGGGAUCGAUCGGACGGCCAGAUCUGACCUUUUUGUUUGCUUGGCCUUCCCCUUCUGCUUCUUCUUCUUCUUGUUGUUCCUCCUCCUCUGCUGCUGCACCAAUUUAUGGUUUACCCAACCCAAACACCCUCUUUCUCUCCAUCUCUUAUUCAAUCUCCACCAUUACACCUACAUUAAUUCCUAUCAUCCGACCUACGCCGUUAACGCUUCAUCCAGAUCCACAAUUCCCAGAUUCCGCCUUUCUCUGCUCUCUCCCAACCCAACAAAACCCUCCAUCUUUUCACGUCCCAAAGUUUGCCCCCCCACCCUUCCCUCUCUCUUUGUUUUUCUCCUUUUUUUUGUCCGAUUAGAUGUUUUGGCAGGGCUCUCAUGAUUCGCAUUCUCCAUAAUUCAUAUUUGUUUUGGUAUUUGCAGUUUAGAAAAGCGCCAAGCAGGAGGAGGUUUGUUUUUCGCUUGUGGACUUUCAGCUUCUGUUUGAUCUCCCAUUUUUCUCGACUUUCGAGUUUUUUCUGUCUUUCCCUGCCUCUGCCUUUGCUGCUAAACACCCACCUCCCUUUUGCCAGAAUACCAACCACCACACUCUAAGGAAUACCACAACAGCCGAGAGGUCAGCUCAUUGUAUUUCUUCCCCUUGUAACCUACCUCCUUUUCCGGGGUGCUUCAGUAUCUGCUGCUUGUCCACAACAAACCUCAUUUCUUUUAUUGAAAUUUUAGGAAUAAAACAAGAUUUUUUUUUUCGAUUUCCUUGACUUUUUGUGCGAGCAAGUUUAUAUAUGUGAUUUGAAAACCGGGGGAAAAAUAAAAGCAAUGGUUCAUUGAGCAUGAAUAUGUUGGUUUCUCCCUUGCGUACUUUUUGUCCUUGCUUCUUUAAGUCAAAUGUGGACAGUAUCUUGGACGGAAAGUCCAUCCCCAAUAAUGGGUGUCCUCCGGGAUUUUUGUACCAAAUGGCGGGGUAGUGUGUAGAACACACGUAUUGGGCAGUCAAUUUUGUAGCUAAUCUCUGCUCUAAAUCUUCUGCUAUAUUAAUGUGUUGUUUUAGUUUUAUCAUAUCCGAUGUGUCUCUGUUGGAUGACUAUUAUUUAUGACUUCGGGCAAACCAUUGCUAUCUUCAUCUGAGCCACCUGACCUUUAUUCUCAUCCUCACCUCCUUAAACGUCAUACUACCUCAUCACCACCUUCCUCAGCAGCAGCAGCUUUUGACGACCCACCUCAACAUACCAGUAGUAUUACCACUCUGUACACUUUGAAGGAGGACGAGUUGGACUCCAAUUUUUCCCCACUUAGACAGAUAGGUUUUCCUGACGAAUCUGUUCGACAUCCUGCUGCCACAAAGGGGAAGGGGUUCCGUUCCGCUGAGCUUCGGUUCCACAGGGAAUUUCAACUGGAAUGUCCUUGGAGAGAGAGGAAACGCCUGGUUUCGUGGGGUGGAGCCAUGGAUGCUCACCAUGAUAUCGCUUCCUUUGAAGUUUCUUCAGUGCAAUCCCAGGUGGCUUCAUCUCAGUCAACUUCUACCAGAGCCACCCAACUUGACUUGUCUAGGGCUUCAUCUCGGGUUCAGGAUAAGUUGAAUAAAUCUCAGAGGAGUAGACACAAGAGCAUGCCGUUGGAAGAUAACUUAAUGCACCACGAUAACCCUAGAUUGAUCCACAUUAAUGAUCCAAAGAAGACUAACCAUAAAUUUGAGUUCUCUGGGAAUGAGAUUCGAACCAGCAAGUAUACAAUUUUAAACUUUCUGCCUAAGAAUCUCUUUAUUCAGUUUCACCGUGUUGCCUAUUUAUACUUCCUUGCCAUUGCCGCACUGAACCAGCUUCCGCCUCUUGCUGUUUUUGGGAGAACAGUCUCUCUUUUUCCUCUGCUUUUUGUGCUUUCUGUAACAGCUAUAAAAGAUGGUUAUGAGGAUUGGCGAAGGCAUAGGUCAGACAGGAAUGAAAAUAACCGGGAGGCUCUAGUGCUUCAAGCGAGUGAAUUCCAACGUAAGAGAUGGAAAAAUAUGCAGGCUGGUGAGGUUGUGAAGAUCUGUGCUGAUGAGAGCAUUCCUUGUGAUGUGGUGCUGCUUGGGACCAGUGAUCCAAGUGGAAUUGCUUAUAUACAGACAAUGAACUUGGACGGGGAGUCAAACCUGAAGACCCGGUAUGCUAGGCAAGAAACAAGUAAGUUAGUUCUUGAAGGGACUACCAUUUCUGGGGUUAUUAGAUGCGAACAACCUAACAGGAAUAUAUAUGAGUUCACAGCCAACAUGGAGAUAAAGGGCCAAAGGUUCCCACUAACCCAAUCAAACAUCAUUUUGCGUGGCUGUCAGCUGAAGAACACAGAAUGGGCAAUUGGCGUGGUGGUUUAUGCCGGACAGGAGACUAAAGCUAUGCUAAACAGUGCUUCAUCUCCAUCUAAAAGGAGUAGAUUGGAGACCUACAUGAAUCGAGAAACUUUUUGGUUGUCUGUUUUCCUCUUAACCAUGUGCCUGGUUGUUGGAAUAGGGAUGGGUCUGUGGCUUAAACGCCAUAAGAAUCAGCUUGAUACAUUACCUUAUUACAGGAGGACUUACUUUCCAAAUGGAAAAUCUCCUGGCAGGCCAUACAAAUUUUAUGGGAUUCCGAUGGAGGCCUUCUUCUCCUUUUUGAGUUCUAUAAUAGUUUUCCAGAUAAUGAUACCCAUAUCUCUCUACAUCACCAUGGAGCUGGUUCGGUUAGGACAGUCAUAUUUCAUGAUUGGAGACAGGCAUAUGUAUGAUAAUAGCUCCGGUUCAAGGUUCCAGUGCAGAUCCUUAAAUAUUAAUGAGGAUUUAGGUCAAAUCCGCUAUGUAUUUUCUGAUAAGACAGGAACACUUACUGAAAACAGGAUGGAAUUCAGAAGAGCGAGUGUUUGCGGGAAAAGUUAUGGCAGGUCCCUUUCGAUGACUGGGACAUUGGAGGACACCGAUAUAGGAGGGGAACGAAAGUCAGCCCUCCUGGGCCGAAGAAGAUGGAAGCUUAAAUCAGAAAUUACUGCUGAUUUUGAACUACUGGAAUUGUUGCAUAAAGAACUGUCAAGUGAGGAAAGAGCAUUUGCGCAUGAGUUUUUUCUGACACUGUCAGCAUGUAACACUGUGAUUCCUAUUCUUGCUCGUAGUCCAUCUUCAAGUGAAGCAGAAAGUGACUGUUGUGACAAUGUUGUGACCAUUGAUUAUCAGGGUGAGUCACCUGAUGAACAAGCCUUGGUUGCUGCUGCUUCUGCUUAUGGUUAUACUCUUUUCGAGAGGACAUCUGGGCAUAUUGUGAUUGAUGUGAAUGGUGAGAAACUAAGGUUGGAUGUUCUGGGUUUGCAUGAGUUUGACAGUGUGCGUAAAAGAAUGUCUGUGGUUAUCAGAUUUCCAAAUAAUGAUGUCAAGGUAUUGGUGAAAGGGGCUGAUACGUCGAUGUUCAGCAUCUUAAGGAAAGAUGCUGCAACAGAUGAUCAUAGAAGACAUGCAACUCAGAGUCAUUUGACUGAAUAUUCAUCUGAAGGUUUACGUACCCUCGUAGUUGCUUCCAGGAAUCUUACAAGCGAAGAGCUUAAGGAGUGGCAAUGCAUGUACCAAGAUGCUAGCACAUCGUUGACUGACAGAACUAUAAAGCUGCGUCAGACAGCAUCACUUAUUGAAUGCCACUUAACUCUUCUUGGUGCCACAGCUAUUGAGGACAAGCUACAAGAAGGUGUUCCGGAAGCUAUCGAGUCUCUGCGACAGGCUGGAAUAAAAGUGUGGGUACUUACUGGAGAUAAGCAAGAGACUGCAAUUUCGAUCGGUCUUUCUUGUAAGCUAUUGACGGCAGAAAUGCAACAGAUUAUAAUAAAUGGAAAUUCUGAAAAUGAAUGCAGAAAACUCUUGUUUGAUGCAAAGGCCAAAUAUGUUUUGAAGUAUCGCAAUAACCAGGAUUUGAAAUGGACAAGAGAUGCAGAAAGAGACUACCUUGAGAUUCCUGUUGAUAUAAAGUUUCCGAACUCUCCCCAGCAGCACGGUGGACUGGAAGAAGGAUCUUUACACGCAUCUUUAGCUCUCAUAAUUGAUGGGAGUAGCCUGGUAUACAUAUUGGAGAAGGAUCUGGAAUCUGAGUUAUUCGACAUUGCAACUGCAUGUAGGGUUGUGCUAUGCUGUCGUGUUGCACCUCUGCAAAAGGCUGGGAUAGUUGACCUAAUUAAGAGUCGGACUGAUGAUAUGACUCUUGCAAUAGGUGAUGGGGCAAAUGAUGUUUCCAUGAUCCAAAUGGCGGAUGUUGGUGUUGGAAUAUGCGGUCAGGAAGGGCGUCAAGCAGUGAUGGCAUCAGAUUUUGCUAUGGGACAGUUUCGCUUUCUGCAGCGCUUGCUUUUGGUGCAUGGGCAUUGGAAUUAUCAACGGAUUGGUUAUUUGGUUCUCUACAACUUCUACCGAAAUGCUGUUUUUGUACUCAUGCUUUUCUGGUAUAUAUUGUGCACAGCGUUUUCGACUACCUCUGCCUUGACAGACUGGAGUAGUGUGUUUUAUUCUGUUAUCUAUACUUCUGUGCCUACAAUUGUUGUUGGUAUUCUUGACAAGGAUCUAAGUUGUAAGACACUACUCCAGUAUCCUAAACUCUACGCUGCAGGCCACAGACAGGAGAGUUACAAUAUGCGCCUCUUCUGGCUCACAAUGAUUGACACACUAUGGCAGAGCCUUGUUCUUUUUUAUGUGCCUUUGUUCACCUACAAGGACAGCAGUAUUGACAUUUGGAGUAUGGGUAGCUUGUGGACUGUUGCUGUUGUUAUCCUUGUUAAUAUUCACUUGGCAAUGGAUGUUCAGCGAUGGGUAAUAUACACUCACCUUUCCGUAUGGGGUUCAAUACUCAUCACUUAUGGCUGUGUUUUGGUAUUGGAUUCUAUACCUACAUUUGCCAAUUACGGCACAAUAUACCAUCUGGCAAAGUCGCCUAUGUAUUGGCUCUCCAUUUUGCUUAUAACAGUUCUCGGAUUGCUUCCUCGCUUUGUUCUUAAAGUUAUAUAUCAAACUUUCUGGCCUUCAGAUAUCCAGAUUGCUAGAGAAGCAGAGAUACUGGGAAAGAGACCUUGUUAUCUUGGAUCAAGGCCAGAUCAAGGCUCAAGCUGACUUGUCAUCUCUUGGGUCAAUUAACCUUGUUUUGAUAGAGCUUCUCUUCCAUUUGUUGCAUAUGUGGCUUUACCCAUGAAAUUCCAGAGAAAAGAUGAGUUGUUGGACCUGUUGCCACUUGCCAGCUCACGUAAAACCACUGCUCACAUAAUAUGGUUAUGAAAAUUAUAGGCUUGUUUCACACCAAAGGGAUGUGCGAUCGUCCAGAUGAGGGCUGGGACUGGAUUGGGGAGAACGCAGUUGAAAACCAUGCUAAUGCCUAGUUGGUGGGGCUGUUGGCUCAAGUGCGAUGCAAAGCUGAUUAUGAGGGAUCAAAAUUUAGGUAAUUUUCUUAAGUUGGGGCAAAGGGAAAUUUACCCGGGAGGGGAGAGAGAGAGAGAGAGAGAGGUGUAGUGUACAGUAGUGUAAUGUAAAAUCAAAGGUUGUGUUAAAUGAGCUUAGAUAAACUGUUUGGGUACACUAAAGGCCGACGUUUCAAUCUUAAAACAACCUAGUAUAAAGAAAGAGUGCCUCUCCUAGUCAGGAGAGAAUGAAGUGGGUAUGUAAUUGUUUGGGACUUGAUGGUAAAUGGUACUCUGUGGACGAGUAAGUCUAAAAGGAGAUAAUGAGGUGCUGACGGAUCCCUUUUGCUCGAGGAGCUUACGGGUUCCAGCUCAUUAAAAAAAAAAUAAGCAUUAGCC